rnacentral:rRNA from 1 species
GUGCCAGCAGCCGCGGUAAUACGUAGGUGCGAGCGUUGUCCGGAAUUACUGGGCGUAAAGGAUGCGUAGGUGGAUAUUCUAAGUGGGAUGUGAAAUCCCCGGGCUCAACCCGGGAACUGCUUCCAAACUGGAUGUCUAGAGUGCAGGAGAGGAAAGCGGAAUUCCUAGUGUAGCGGUGAAAUGCGUAGAUAUUAGGAAGGAACACCAGUGGCGAAGGCGGCUUUCUGGACGGUAACUGACAGCUGAGGCAUGAAAGCGUGGGUUAGCAAAACAGGAUUAGAUACCCCUGGUAGUCCACGCCGUAAACGAUGGGUACUAGGUGCUAGGAGGUAUCGACCCCUUCUGUGCCGUCGUUAACACAAUAAGUACCCCGCCUGGGGAGUACGGUCGCAACGACUAAAACUCAAAGGAAUUGACGGGGGCCCGCACAAGCAGCGGAGCAUGUGGUUUAAUUCGAAGCAACGCGAAGAACCUUACCUAGACUUGACAUCUCCUGCAUUACCCUUAAUCGGGGAAGCCCUUCGGGGCAGGAAGACAGGUGGUGCAUGGUUGUCGUCAGCUCGUGUCGUGAGAUGUUGGGUUAAGUCCCGCAACGAGCGCAACCCUUAUUUUUAGUUGCUACCAUUCAGUUGAGCACUUCUAAAGAGACUGCCCGGGUUAACCGGGAGGAAGGUGGGGAUGACGUCAAAUCAUCAUGCCCCUUAUGUCUAGGGCUACACACGUGCUACAAUGGUGAGAACAAAGAGACGCAAGACCGCGAGGUGGAGCAAAUCUCACCAAACUCAUCCCAGUUCGGAUUGCAGGCUGAAACUCGCCCUGCAUGAAGCCGGNUGCUUGCUAGUAAUACGCGA